CAUGUGUAACCCAGGUCACUUGAACGCCCCAUAAUUCCUCCCCACACCUGAACUGUGUGGCACUAAUCACAGCUCCGGGCCUCCUGCACUGUGAUUGGCUCAGACCCUGACUAGCCAAAAAAACAAGAUGGCUGCGCCCACUGCCAGUCCUGCACUCCGGCUGUGACUGUGUUCGCUUCUGUUACUCACUUUCAAAUCAUCAUUGCUCUCUCAAAUAUUGGACAUUUGUGCCAAACCCUCCAUAACUCUACGAGAACCGGCAGCACCCCGGCUUCAAACUCCUCCAUCCUCCGCUACACACCUCUCAGAAUCAAUGGUGAGUCAAACUAAUAUGUACUGACAUAGGUCCUAUGUUCAAUAUUACGUAUUAUUCAUUAGAUCCCGUGAUUUUAUGUGUUUUUGCCACUUCCGGGUUGUCGCCGGACUAUUUUCGUCUGCUUUCUUGUCUGUGUUUGGGCUCCUGAUUUCUCGUCAGAUGCCCAAACAUGGCUGAAAUGACUCUUGUGUUUAGGGUACAACUAGUACUAUGUCAUAUAUUUGCUGUUUGCCGAUACCUCUGUUUGUUUUGUAAUUAAUUGUUGAUAAAGCCAUGCUAAUAGCAAUGCUAAGCUAGCGGUCCAUGAACAGUAAUGGGGUUAGGCUAUUAGUACUAGUAAUGACCUUUACACUGAACCUAUUGUUUUAUUUAAAUGUUGCGCAACUGUAAAUGUUUAUUCAUUCAUUUGAUUGAUUGGAAAAAAUGUGAAUGAUGUGUUAAUCUACUGAUGAAAUAAGAAAUGGGAUGGAAUAAGAAUUUAAUCUGUUAACAGAAGACAAUGUUAGUAACGGAGAAACUUAUUGGUUUUCUCCUAUGACCUCUUUCCAGGUCAGGUUUUUUUCCCCCGUCCCACAUCACGUCCACUGAAUGGGACCAGAUUCCUCUACUGAGGUGGCGAGCUGAAGCCUGGUAGAAUCAAAUAUUUUUUUUUUAUUUACCCACUUCUCCGGAUUGUGGAUUAUUAUAAACUGAACCGUGAGCUCAAGUCAAGGAUCGUGAUAAAGCAGAUUGUGCGCUCAAACCAAACUUAAAAAAGAAGUGUCAUCUUAUACUUGAUGCAAGGUUUUUUUUCUUUUUUUUUCCUUUGUUUGUUGUCCUCUGUUGAAUGAUUUGUCUCUGAGAUAUUGUUCAUUUUAUUUUCAAUUAUUCUUACAAUAUAAUUCACUUAAACUUAA